rnacentral:rRNA from 1 species
UCAGGACGAACGCUGGCGGCGUGCCUAAUACAUGCAAGUCGAACGGUCUUUCUAUGGAAGCUUGCUUCCACUGAGAAGAUAGUGGCGAACGGGUGAGUAACACGUGGGUAACCUGCCCAUAAGAGGGGGAUAACAUCCGGAAACGGGUGCUAAUACCGCAUAGUUUUCUUGAUCGCAUGAUCGGGAAAGGAAAGACGGCCUUUGUGCUGUCGCUUAUGGAUGGACCCGCGGCGUAUUAGUUAGUUGGUGAGGUAACGGCUCACCAAGACGAUGAUACGUAGCCGACCUGAGAGGGUGAUCGGCCACAUUGGGACUGAGACACGGCCCAAACUCCUACGGGAGGCAGCAGUAGGGAAUCUUCCGCAAUGGACGAAAGCCUGACGGAGCAACGCCGCGUGAGUGAAAGAAGGUUUUCGGAUCGUAAAACUCUGUUGUCAGAGAAGAACAAGUUGGAGAGUAACUGCUCCAGCCUUGACGGUAUCUGACCAGAAAGCCACGGCUAACUACGUGCCAGCCGCGGC